CAUGUCUCGUGUAUAAAUAUACAAUUGACUUUGGUGUUGAUCUUGCAUCCUGUGAUCAGAUCUUCUGAAGACCUACCACUUAUUUACUCACUCAAUCAGUAAGUGGUGAAUUUAAAUGCUGAAACAGUACUACUCAACAUACCUUCUGUGAGUCAACUGUUAUGAGCAACACCUGGAUCUCAUUAGAAAUGCAGAAUACGAGGUCCCAUCCAAGACUCAGUGAGUAAGAAUUUCCAGAGUUGAGCCCAGGACUGUCUACCUGCUUUAACAAGCCCUCCAACAGAAUCUCCAUGUACUAGAUUUCGAGAUGUGCUAGGCUGAAGUAUGUGCAUCCUUCAGAAAUCAAAAUCUUCUGGAUUCAUUUUACAUUUAAUCGUCCUUCACUAUUUCCCUUUAGUACUAUCUCUACUAGAAAGUUUCCCCAGUGUAUGCCAUUUUUAGGCUCCAAUAGUUCAGAGAAACUGCAAUUUCACUGAGACUUGACCUACAGAAUCAGAGAUUCAGGAUUCUAGUCACUUUGCUGAGAUGGAUCCAAGGUAUAGAAAGAAGUCAGAUGUCAGCCCAAAGGUCAGGCUGCAACAAAAGUGCUUACCUUGAAUGAUUUAGCUAUGAUAUGAGUUUACUCUGUAACAUAAGUAGCAUGGUUGGGCAGUGUUCAAGAACCUGGCUGUAUAAUGAAGAAAGGAGAAAAGACAGAAUUUAGCCCAAAUGUGAUGAAAGCCAAUUGACAUGAAGACAAUCAUCACGUUCAUCUUGGUCCAGUAAGAAUUUGAUAUUCACUCUGAUAGGAGAUUUGCAAUAUGACUCCAGUUAAGGUGGCAAUUUGAAACUCUCCUGCUUUGACUUCUGGAACUUGCUUCUGCCAAAUCAGUGGUGACUUUCAGGUAUAGGCCUAUGGCUGGAAACUAAAAUCAGAAGACUCCAACCUCCAGCUCUGAGAACCUACACUGAUAGCUCCAUCCAACUUCAACCACAAGUAGUGGGUCCAAAUCACAACACUCCAAUGAUGGAUUACACUGUCUCUGUCUUUUGCAGCACUUUGUUCAAAGAUAAAAGAUUCUCUGCAGUGGUGAUGAGGGCUAGUUCACUCAGCCCUUAGAUGCAGAUUCUGAGAGAUAGAGUACACAUAACUUUUAGAUAACAGGUGCUUUUAAAGAAAAUUUGAUUCUUUGAAAUUAAGUUAAGGUUUGUUUUAUAUAAUUUGCAGUCAAUUUUCAUAAAUCUCAUGUGUGUUUCAAAGAAAUGAGUAUUCUCUAUUUGUUGCCUUUAGGAAUCUAUGUAUCUUCAUUAUAUCAUGACUGUUAAUUGUUUUUCACAUGUUCUAUACCCUUCCUAAUGCUUUGUCUGCUUGAUCUAUCAAUUACCAGAAUAGGUAUUGCAGUCUGCCCCUCUGAAUUCAUAUCACAUGCAUAUAAAUUUUAAGUUACUAAACUUCCCUCCGUGAAAUCAAGCUCUUAUCAUUGUGUAGUUACCUUCUUUAUCUUGAAUAAUUAUUCUAAUUUAAGGUCGAUUUUCCCUGAUAAUAAUAUAAGUAAACCAACUUUCUUUUGGUUAGCAUUUGCCUGAUUUAUCUUAGUCCAUCUUUUUACUUUCUAUUUUCCUGUAACUUUCCUUAUAUUCCUUAGGUAUUCUGACCACGUGUGUCUUUUGGCUAAUGAAUUUAUUCCAUUUAUAAUUUAUUUAUGUUUCUUUAUAUGCAUUUAUAUGUAUAUAUAAUAUAUAUGUAUUUCUUCCAUAUAGUUAUUUACUUUUUGUUACUUUUUAUAUUCUGCUUUUGUUCUUUCAACUGUUUUUGUUUUUG
rnacentral:lncRNA from 10 species